UACAGAGGGGGCAAGCGUUGUUCGGAAUUACUGGGCGUAAAGGGCGCGUAGGCGGCCCGCUAAGUCGAACGUGAAAUCCCCGAGCUCAACUCGGGAACUGCGUCCGAUACUGGCGGGCUUGAAUCCGGGAGAGGGAUGCGGAAUUCCAGGUGUAGCGGUGAAAUGCGUAGAUAUCUGGAGGAACACCGGUGGCGAAGGCGGCAUCCUGGACCGGCAUUGACGCUGAGGCGCGAAAGCUAGGGGAGCAAACGGGG
rnacentral:rRNA from 1 species